rfam:Aedes aegypti strain Liverpool supercont1.74 genomic scaffold, whole genome shotgun sequence.
UGUUCUGUAGUUUAGUUGGUUAAAGCGCUGAUCUAGCGUACACGGAGUCGUGAGUUCGAGUCUCACUAGAACGC